rnacentral:rRNA from 2 species
CAUGCAAGUCGAGCGGAAACGAGUUAUCUGAACCUUCGGGGGACGAUAACGGCGUCGAGCGGCGGACGGGUGAGUAAUGCCUAGGAAAUUGCCCUGAUGUGGGGGAUAACCAUUGGAAACGAUGGCUAAUACCGCAUGAUGCCUACGGGCCAAAGAGGGGGACCUUCGGGCCUCUCGCGUCAGGAUAUGCCUAGGUGGGAUUAGCUAGUUGGUGAGGUAAGGGCUCACCAAGGCGACGAUCCCUAGCUGGUCUGAGAGGAUGAUCAGCCACACUGGAACUGAGACACGGUCCAGACUCCUACGGGAGGCAGCAGUGGGGAAUAUUGCACAAUGGGCGCAAGCCUGAUGCAGCCAUGCCGCGUGUGUGAAGAAGGCCUUCGGGUUGUAAAGCACUUUCAGUCGUGAGGAAGGUAGUGUAGUUAAUAGCUGCAUUAUUUGACGUUAGCGACAGAAGAAGCACCGGCUAACUCCGUGCCAGCAGCCGCGGUAAUACGGAGGGUGCGAGCGUUAAUCGGAAUUACUGGGCGUAAAGCGCAUGCA